rnacentral:rRNA from 1 species
AUUGAACGCUGGCGGCGUGCUUAACACAUGCAAGUCGAUCGGUAACGCGGGGGCAACCCUGGCGACGAGAGGCGGACGGGUGAGGAACGCUUGGGAAUCUGCCUAUCAGCGGGGGACAACACGGGGAAACUCGUGCUAAUACCGCAUACGCUCUACGGAGGAAAGCCGGGGACCGCAAGGCCUGGCACUGAUAGAUGAGCCCAAGCCGGAUUAGCUAGUUGGCGGGGUAACGGCCCACCAAGGCGACGAUCCGUAGCUGGUCUGAGAGGACGAUCAGCCACACUGGGACUGAGGCACGGCCCAGACUCCUACGGGAGGCAGCAGUGGGGAAUAUUGGGCAAUGGGGGAAACCCUGAUCCAGCGACGCCGCGUGGGUGAAGAAGGCCUGCGGGUUGUAAAGCCCUUUCGGUAGGGACGAAAGCUCUCGACCUAACACGUCGGGAGGUUGACUUAACCUACAAAAGAAGUACCGGCUAACUCUGUGCCAGCCGCCGCGGUAACGC